UCUUCUCAAUUCUCCCUUUUGGGUGGGAAUGUCUGUCUUUUGCCUGUCCCGCCAUUGUGAUCCAGAAGCACAGAACAUGUCUGGUCUCACAGGUUCGAAGCUAGAGAGGAAUUCUGCUUUGGGAUGAAUCAUACCUCCAGCCUCACCCAGCCCUGAUUUAGAUGACGUUUAGGGAGACUUCUGACUUGGUGAUGGACGGGUUGACUCUGGGGCUGUUGAAUGGUGUAUUUUUUAAAGAUUUUAUUUAUUUUUUAUUUGUCAGAGAGAGAGAGAGAGCACAAGCAGGGGGAGCAGCAGGCAGAGGGAGAAGCAAACUCCCCGCUGAGCAGGAAGCCUGAUGCUGGACUUGAUCCCCGGACCCUGGGAUCAUGACCUGAGCCGAAGGCAGACGCCCAACAACUGAGCCACCCAGGCAUUGCAGAGUGAAUGUAUUUUGCACGGGAGAACGAUGUGAAUUUGGGGAGCAAGAUGGCAGAAUGUUAUGAACUGAAUUGUGUCCCCCUAAAUUGAAGACUUAACUAACCAUGGGACUGUAUUUGAGAUGGGGCCUUGAAGGAGUAAAGAUUAAAUGGGGUCACAAGGGUGGGCCUUCUCUAACAGUACUGGUAUCUUUGUUUUUUGGUUUUUUUUAAAGAGUAUUUAUUUAUUUAUUUAUUUGACAGAGACACAGCAAUAGAGAGGGAACACAAGCAAACGGAGUGGGAGAGGGAGAAGCAGGCUUUCCGCUGAGCAGGGAGCUGGAUGUGGGGUCGGAUCCCAGAAUCCUGGGAUCAUGACUUGAGCCGAAGGCAGAUGCCUAACAACUGAACCACCUGGAUGCCCCUCCUGGUGCCUUUAUAAGAAAGGACAACAGAUUUCUCCCUCUCUCUCCUUGGGUGCACACAGGGAAGGCUACAUGAGGGCCCAGCAAGAAUGUGUGUUUGCAAGCUGAGGAGACAGGUCUCACUGGAAGCCACAUCUGCCAGCACCUUAACUUGGGCCUUUCAGCCUCUAGAACUAUGACAGAAUACAUUCCUGUUGAUUAAGCCACCCAGUCUAUGGUCUCUUGCCAUGGUGGGCUGAGCAGACGAAUACAAUUCCUCACAACUUUGGUGAGGGAGGAGCCAGGCGCACUUGGAUUUCAAGUUCCACUUUCAUGGAUUGCCUCACUCGGCCAAUACAGAAGUUCUGCUAUGGGUCAGACAUGGUGCAGGCACUGGCUUCAAUGCCCACAGGAGAGACGCAUGGCUUCGGCUCACACUCCGUUGGCCGCCCUUGAUGACGAAGGAGGUGGAAGUGUAGUCCAGCUCGGUGCCCAGGAAGAGGAGGACAUGAGUUUGGUGACCAGUUACCCAGGCCUGCUACAGUAGGUCAGGGCUAAGCUCAGUCAAGGGGGCAGGGUGCACCCAGGCUCUGCUGGAAUUUCCCACGCGGACCAGCUCCAGUUUUCUCAUGAAGACACACUGAGGUGUUUCCACAUCCGUGCCCUCUUCUAGACUGUACACCCUUUGAGGGUAAGGCCUGGGCCUGGCUUCUCUCCCUAGCCUCACACCUGGCCCGGAGAGGGCCCAGUGCCAGCGCCCAGCAAACAAGCCUGUGGAGAGACAGCACGUCCUCCUGAGUCAUCAGAUUUCACGGGGCUGAGCCGAAGCCCUGCUUGUCAGCAUGUUGCUCACUGAUGGGAAAAGCUUUCCUGUGGUCUAGACACUCCUGACUCCAGUCUAAAGAGACCUUCUAAAGAAGGUCAGUGUGUCCAGUGGAAGGAGAUGGGGCUUUCCCUCCCUGAGCUCACAGACCUACCUGCUGGGAAGACAGCUUCACGGGUUCUAUUUUUUCCUGGAUGUUCCCACCUGCUGACUUCCCCAGAUGUGACAGGAUACACAGAGAGCUGUGUCCAGCAGGGAUCCUGGGCCCCAAGCAGUCUGGCCCUGGGCUCCCACACUGCUGGGCUCUGCACUG